GACGAACGCUGGCGGCGUGCUUAACACAUGCAAGUCGAACGCUGAAGCUCAGCUUUUGUUGGGUGGAUGAGUGGCGAACGGGUGAGUAACACGUGAGUAACCUGCCCCCUUCUUUGGGAUAACGCCCGGAAACGGGUGCUAAUACUGGAUAUUCACUGGUCUUCGCAUGGGGGUUGGUGGAAAGGGUCUUUCUGGUGGGGGAUGGGCUCGCGGCCUAUCAGCUUGUUGGUGGGGUGAUGGCCUACCAAGGCUUUGACGGGUAGCUGGCCUGAGAGGUUGACCGGUCACAGUGGGACGGAGAUACGGCCCAGACUCCUACGGGGGGCAGCAGUGGGGAAUAUUGCAGAAUGGGCGCAAGCCUGAUGCAGCGACGCCGCGUGAGGGAUGGAGGCCUUCGGGUUGUGAACCUCUUUCGCUAAUGGUCAAGCCGCAACAAUGGUUGUGGUGAGGGUAGUGGGUAAAGAAGCGCCGGCUAACUACGUG
rnacentral:rRNA from 1 species